rnacentral:rRNA from 1 species
GAUGAACGCUGGCGGCGUGCCUAAUACAUGCAAGUCGAGCGAAUGGAUUAAGAGCUUGCUCUUAUGAAGUUAGCGGCGGACGGGUGAGUAACACGUGGGUAACCUGCCCAUAAGACUGGGAUAACCCCGGGAAACCGGGGCUAAUACCGGAUAACAUUUUGAACCGCAUGGUUCGAAAUUGAAAGGCGGCUUCGGCCGUCACUUAUGGAUGGACCCGCGUCGCAUUAGCUAGUUGGUGAGGUAACGGCUCACCAAGGCAACGAUGCGUAGCCGACCUGAGAGGGUGAUCGGCCACACUGGGACUGAGACACGGCCCAGACGCCUACGGGAGGCAGCAGUAGGGAAUCUUCCGCAAUGGACGAAAGUCUGACGGAGCAACGCCGCGUGAGUGAUGAAGGCUUUCGGGUCGUAAAACUCUGUUGUUAGGGAAGAACAAGUGCUAGUUGAAUAAGCUGGCACCUUGACGGUACCUAACCAGAAAGCCACGGCUAACUACGUGCCAGCCGCCGCCGUAA